AACCAAUGCCCAAGGAGAAGACAAGAGAACAGCUGGGCCUGAGGCUGUGGAGGGCUCAGAGCGGGAGUGCUAUAUUCUGUGCAAGAGCAUGGAAGUUGGACAAUACAAAUUGAAACUUUCAAGAUAUUUGAAAAAUACAUCAGAAAACCAGGAAAUACACAAGGAAGGAGCUAUGUCUUAUUUCUAUACCGUAUGCUUCUUGGCUCUCGUGGUAGCUCUUCUGCAUUGCUCUUAAGUAUAUGUCUUCCUAAAACACAUGGUGAACAAACAUCAACUUCUGUAAAAGGUACACAACACACACUCAACGAUUCCAAACGCCCGGAGAUGAGGAUGCCAAGAUUCACCGUGUGAGUAUGUUUUCCCAUUUGAAACACAGACUACAACAGAACAGGAGAGGAAGACUGAACUUGCUUCUGCUCCAGACCCAAGCCAGGAGGAGACCAGCCCUGGGCCACAAUUAAUUUAUUCUCACAACACCCCUGGGAAGCAGGGCAUUACAGCAGGCCAAUGAACAGUGGAAAAAUCCAUAUCUGCUGAAAGCAGACUCAGUUCUCGCUGAAAUGGAGUUAUGUCAGUUUACACAGAGCCUGGAUUUGCCUUAUAAACAUUGCUUCUUUUUAACAUUUCAUAUAUAUAACGCAGAAUGCAAACUAAACCAAAAAGGUGAAAGAAAGGACAGUCUGAUUUGAAAAAGCAAUUAAAAUGAAGCUUGGAUAUGUUGUAAAUAUUUCUAAUUCUUCUAAUAUGCCAUCAUUUUUAUUAAUGCUUUUAUUUGUUAAAUAUGUUCCUCUUUUGCCUGUAACUUUCAAAAGCAAUUUAAUUUUUAUCUGUAAUCUGAAAUUUACAUCUAACUGGUAACAGAUGUGACCAACUGGCUUAUGUUUUACUAAGUUACCAAGAUUUAUGGUGGGUGUUCUUUGUAAUGGAUUGUCUUUCAUGGAGGUUAUACUAUCAUUUGGUUUAAUAAUUUAUUACUUUUUUACUAUUUCUUCAGAGCUGUUUUUGUUAUAGAGGUGGAAAUAAUUUGUUUCAGACAAAUGAAGUGUUCUCCUUACCCUAAGAACAUAAUGAGGAAAAAAAGAAGCAGUAAAAAUGAGAUAAAAUUGGUUAAACACUCAAAUAUUUUGUUGUAAAGAUACUUCUCACAUGUUUUAAAAAUGUAUUAUUACUAUGCUUUUCAUAUAGCUUUUUUUCAACCAGAUUUCUCCAGAUGCUAUGCAAACAUAAUUGUCUCCUAUUUUCUCCAUAUUUGUAGACAGGAGUAAUUAUCGUUUAGGUGUUAGGUAUCUAUAGUUGUGUCUAUACGAGAUGCUAACUG